CUCUUAUCCUUGCCUUCGAUUUCCCCUUUCCCUCUUCCUCCCUCCAUUCCUCUCGAAUCCCCUACCCUUCCUCAUGAACUCGAUUUUUCUCCCUCCUUUCCUCCUGAUCUUCGAACGGUCCUACUGAGCCCUAAAUCCAUCCCCUUCAUGCGAUAGUCCUCUUCCAUCUGAGCCCUAAACGACGGGUUUGUGCUUUUGCUUAGAUAAUGCCAUGACUGAAAUUUGAGGGUGUUUGUUGAAGUCUAAAUGAGAGAGAAAGAACUUCAGCAUGCAAGGGAAGAGUUCCAUAAAAGAGAGGAGUACAUCCAAAAGAGAGUGUUGUUUGCUACGAUCAAGAUCAAUGGAAGAUUAAGUUUGUGUUAGCGACUUUUUGUAUGUUGUUAAGUUUGUUAGUGUUUCGGUGUAGCGAGACUGGUGACUUGUAAACAUUCUGCAUUAAUGUGCAGUCUUGUCAAAGUUGCAAUAUGCAGUUUAUGUUUCCAAUUGUACCAGACUUAUGAUCCCUUCAAUAUAAGGUAUUUUCCAAUAGAUUUUCUGUUGUAUUAGUAAGUUGGAAUA